GACGAACGCUGGCGGCGUGCUUAACACAUGCAAGUCGAACGGUAAGGCCCUUCGGGGUACACGAGUGGCGAACGGGUGAGUAACACGUGGGUAAUCUGCCCUGCACAUCGGGAUAAGCCUGGGAAACUGGGUCUAAUACCGAAUAGGACCACAGGACACAUGUCCUGUGGUGGAAAGCUUUUGCGGUGUGGGAUGGGCCCGCGGCCUAUCAGCUUGUUGGUGGGGUGAUGGCCUACCAAGGCGACGACGGGUAGCCGGCCUGAGAGGGUGUCCGGCCACACUGGGGCUGAGAUACGGCCCAGACUCCUACGGGAGGCAGCAGGGGGGAAUAUUGCACAAUGGGCGACAGACUGAUGCAGCGACGCCGCGUGGGGGAUGACGGCCGUCGGGUUGUAAACCUCUUUCACCAUCGACGAAGGUCCGGGUUUUCUCGGGCUGACGGUAGGUGGAGAAGAAGCACCGGCCAACUACGUG
rnacentral:rRNA from 1 species